AUUGAACGCUGGCGGCAGGCCUAACACAUGCAAGUCGAACGGGUGGCGGACGGGCGAGUAAGGUAUUGGCACCUGCCCGACGUAGGGGGAAAACUACUGUAAACGGUGGCUAAUACUGCAUACUAUCCGUUGGGCCCUGAUGGGUUUAGGUAGUUGGUGGGGUAACGGCUCACCUAGGCGACGAUCCCCAGCUGGUCUGAGAGGAUGACCAGCCACACGGGAACUGAGACACGGGCCAGACUCCUACGGGAGGCAGCAGUGGGGAAUAUUCGACAAUGGGCGAAAGCCUGAUGCAGCCACGCCGCGUGUGUGAAGAAGGUCUUCGGGUUGUAAAGCACUUUCAGUGGGGAGGCGGUACUCACACAAGAAGCAUCGGCUAACUCCGUGCCAGCAGCCGCGGUAAUUC
rnacentral:rRNA from 1 species